rnacentral:rRNA from 1 species
GACGAACGCUGGCGGCGUGCCUAAUACAUGCAAGUCGAACGCAUUUUCUUUCACCGUAGCUUGCUACACCGAAAGAAAAUGAGUGGCGAACGGGUGAGUAACACGUGGGUAACCUGCCCAUCAGCGGGGGAUAACACUUGGAAACAGGUGCUAAUACCGCAUAAUUCCAUUUACUGCAUGGUAGAUGGAUGAAAGGCGCUUUUGCGUCACUGAUGGAUGGACCCGCGGUGCAUUAGCUAGUUGGUGGGGUAACGGCCUACCAAGGCUGCGAUGCAUAGCCGACCUGAGAGGGUGAUCGGCCACACUGGGACUGAGACACGGCCCAGACUCCUACGGGAGGCAGCAGUAGGGAAUCUUCGGCAAUGGACGCAAGUCUGACCGAGCAACGCCGCGGGAGUGAAGAAGGUUUUCGGAUCGUAAAACUCUGUUGUUAGAAAAGAACAAGGAUGAGAGUGGAAAGUUCAUCCCUUGACGGUAUCUAACCAGAAAGCCACGGCUAACUACGUG